rnacentral:rRNA from 1 species
UGGGCAACCUGCCCUCAGCUCUGGGAUAACUCCAAGAAAUUGGGGCUAAUACCGGAUAUGACUGCUGACCGCAUGGUCUGGUGGUGGAAAGAUUUAUCGGCUGGGGAUGGGCCCGCGGCCUAUCAGCUUGGUUGGGUGGGGUAGUGGCCUACCAAGGCGACGACGGGUAGCCGGCCUGAGAGGGUGACCGGCCACACGUGGGACUGAGACACGGCCCAGACUCCGUACGGGAG